AUCGUUUGGUUAUCGCACCCCUUGAUUGCAUUGUAUAGUUGUGGAUAGACAUGUAGAGCAGGUUGCAUUUGUAUUUCAGUAUCUCUGUGGACCUUGGGUCCAGGCAACACAUCGACUCUCUUGUCGUGUGUUUCGAUCUGGUUGAUCGAGGUUCGGCGUUGUACGCCCUAGCAUCUAUUUCAGUUCGGCGUUGUACGCCCUAGCUUCUAUUUCAGUUUGGCAUUGUACGCCCUCGUGGUUGGCUUCGGCCUAGGCACCGGCUUCAGCCGGGUUUAUUUUUGUUUGAGCAUAUCAGCAUGACUUAGUCACGGCACUUGGGGGUAUUCAUGACACCGGAUCGGUUUGGCCACCGAUCGGAGGUGUACUUAUCCGGAUAGGUCGUCCUGCGGGGCGGAUGGAUCAGGUCGGCGCAGUUAGUGACAGGUAGCGCUUGAGGUCUGCGGACCGAUACAGCAGGCACAGAUUGGGUACAGUUUCUGGUUCAGUACAUUGAGGCAUUCCUUGCAUUAUUUUCUAUACAGUAGCAGGUUUAUUUAUUGCUUCCUAUUUAUCUGUUGUAGCUACUGUAGUUCUAUUUCAUUUCAGCUUACAUAUAUACUUGUUUAUCUAUCUCCUUUGGUUUCCGGUGAUUACGACUUGCCUUCGUGGCUCUGUCGUACCCACUGAGAAAACCAUGGUUGCGGUUUCUCACCCCCCCUUUUCCCCCCAGGUGACAGAGACGAGGAGUUGGAUUUUGGGCUCGACGAGAGGACGAUCUAGCUAGACAGCAGUAGCGUCCGUCACCCUGGUUAUUUCUUUCCCACACUUAGUAGUUUUCUUAAUAAUGGUUCAGUUAGCUGAUCUUAUGUAUGCUUGAAUGUAUGUGAACUGUGGUGUUGGUUUUCCUCGUAUGUAUGAGAUUGGAGUUUUCGAUCGGUGGUUUUGGUUCUGUGGAGAUUUGGUUUUCUUGUAGUUAUGCAUCGUGGUUUUCUACCCCUCGAGGUAGUCGGUUUUCAAAAUAGAGUUUCCGUGUGGGAAACAGUUUUAAAAAGGUUUUCGAAUGGUUUUUAUGAAUGAAUGAAUUAGAGUUUAAAAACAAAAGCUUCCGUGUGGGGAGCACUUUUAAAUAGGAUGUUUGUUGUAUUGUGCAUUGCAUCAUCCAGCGCCUAAGGAGUGCUUAGAGGCAUGCAUCAUUCUAAGGAUUGUUAGCUGUAUGGAAAUGCAUAUCAUGCCUUGGUUGUUGAUUGGUAAAUGUAGGUUGUGGUUGAGAUCCUGUUGUAUCGUUGGUACGCCGUGCAAAUACAAAGGAGACUCUGUCCGAGUGGACAGAGGAACUUUGUAUUUGUGGCGGGUCUGUACGUCGCGUGGGCCAGGUUAAAAAAAAAAAAAAAAAUGGCACGUUUUCCGCAACUCUGUUUUCAAAAUGGCUUUUAAA
rnacentral:lncRNA from 1 species